rnacentral:rRNA from 1 species
CCUACGGGAGGCAGCAGUGAGGAAUAUUGGUCAAUGGGCGCAAGCCUGAACCAGCCAAGUAGCGUGAAGGAUGACUGCCCUACGGGUUGUAAACUUCUUUUAUACGGGAAUAACGUGACGUACGUGUGCCGCUUUGUAUGUACUUUAUGAAUAAGGAUCGGCUAACUCCGUGCCAGCAGCCGCGGUAAUACGGAGGAUCCGAGCGUUAUCCGGAUUUAUUGGGUUUAAAGGGAGCGUAGAUGGUUUGUUAAGUCAGGUGUGAAAGUUGGGGGCUCAACCGUAAAAUUGCAAUUGAUACUGGCAGUCUUGAGUACAGGUGAGGAAGGCGGAAUUCGUGGUGUAGCGGUGAAAUGCUUAGAUAUCACGAAGAACUCCGAUUGCGAAGGCAGCUUGCUGAAGUGCAACUGACGCUGAUGCUCGAAAGUGUGGGUAUCAAACAGGAUUAGAUACCCUUGUAGUC